CAAGAUAUGGUAGGUACAAGACGUUUCCAUCUAUACAAGAUCUACAUACGUUAACACUUCGGCCUCCUCCUCCUCCCUGGAUCUCGGCUGGUCGAUCCUGCCCGUGGGCGCGUGGCUGGACCACCCGACACCUCAACUCCGGCGCCAAUCGGCUCUGCUCCGGCUCUUCCGCCAUCCUGCUCGCCUGCCCGGGACUCCCGUGCGCUUCAGUGCAACGCCAUGCAAGCCGUCCCUCUGCUCAACGCCGCCCGGACUGGCUCGCCUGCCUCCCAUCCGACCUACGACCUCCACUGACUUGCUGCUACUACCUCCACAACAACAAAGGCCUUGAUGAAGCUGUUGAAGCCGUUGAAGGUGGUGAGGCAGACGUACUGGAUGUCGUCGAUGCAGAAAUUACAAUGCCAGAAAUUACAGUAUGAAGAGAUCACUAGUUGGUGCAGAAAGGAUGAUGAAGGAUCCAGCAUUGAUGUUUCAGUCAUAGAAAAUAUAAAACCUGUUGAGUUUGAAGAUGUCCAGUUCGAAUCUGAUGAUGAUACAAAUGAUGAUGAGGCUUACGUAAAUGAUGGCCAUGUUGCUCCUUUGGGACAAGAAGAAUCGGAUGAUGACCAGGGGUUCUUUGUAUAGUUUUCAAUCUAUUGGUUCAAACAAGGCACCCCUGCAUAGUUUCAUCUGUUGUGGCAAAUGAGAACAAAAGCUAGUGCCCAGCACUAACAGUUUGGUGACGAAGAGAAGAUAAGAGUAGUUGUUGUUCUUUUAGUGAUGUUGCUAUUUUGAGAGUGAUGCUAUGUACACACUGUUGCUAUGAACUGUGGUUUUUAGAGUUAUCGCUAUUUUCAUUACUUUGCGGUCAACUUAUGGCCUUUUGUGUGAACACAAGUAUGGCUGCUGAAACUUGUGUGCGUUCAUGUUGAAACUUGUGUGCUUUCAUGUUGAAACUUGUGUUAUAUAUCUCACUGAGAUGGUUUGUUAUAUCCUACUAAAAUCCUGUGUCAU